rnacentral:rRNA from 1 species
UACGUAGGGUGCAAGCGUUGUCCGGAAUUAUUGGGCGUAAAGAGCUCGUAGGCGGUUUGUCGCGUCUGCUGUGAAAACUCGGGGCUUAACCCCGGGCCUGCAGUGGGUACGGGCAGACUAGAGUCAGGUAGGGGAGAACGGAAUUCCUGGUGUAGCGGUGAAAUGCGCAGAUAUCAGGAGGAACACCGGUGGCGAAGGCGGUUCUCUGGGCCUGUACUGACGCUGAGGAACGAAAGCGUGGGGAGCGAACAGG